rnacentral:lncRNA from 1 species
UUUUUUUUUUUUUUUUUUGCAUGAAGACCAAAGGGUCCAAAAUACUCAGUGAGCAGCAUUUAGGGAGUAAGGGGAGGAUGCUAUACAGAAGGGCUGUAAAGGGAGGUAGUGUCUCCUAGACUUUUGGGGAUUGGGACAUUAUAAAAGUGAUGAAAGAUUAUUGGAAGCGGUCUUUGUGAUUUUUUUUUUUUAAAUCGUGGAGCUGAGGUUGUCUUCAGAGGCAGUGUGUGUGUGCUUAGCAUGUGUGACAGUCCAGAGUGGAGGCAUCAUUUCACACUGGGAGUAUGGGACCAGUCAGCAGCAUCACCUCCAUCUAGCAUGUGGCUCAACCUUCAGUUCCCAGAACCAUAGAAAUAAAAAGUCAUGAUGGGGGAGCAUGAUGGGAGAUGCUGCUAGCUUAUUUGUUUUCAGGCAUUUUUUUUAAAAAAAAAAGAUUUAUUUAUUGUUAUAUGUAAGUACACUGUAGCUGUCUUCAGACACACCAGAAGAGGGCGUCAGAUAUCAUUAUGGAUGGUUGUGAGCCACCAUGUGGUUGCUGGGAUUUGAACUCAGGACCUUCAGAAGAGCAGUCAAUGUUCUUAAUCUCUGAGCCAUCUCACCAGCCCUUUCAGACAUCUUUAUGAGCACACAAUAAUUGGUUUCAUUAUAACUUUUUCAUAGAUGUAUUUAACGUACUUUGAUCAUAUAAAAUUAAUAAAACAAAUUGUGACAAGAUAAGUGUUUUAUCAUUAUCCUAUUUGUGUUUUGCCAGAAACUUAGGCCUCUUGCUUUCACCAACCUUACUCUCGUUGCCAGGCAUGGCGGUCCAAACUCAUAAAUUUAAAUUGAUGGUUUUCACAUUCCUUACCUCCAUCAUUCACCUCUUAGAUAUAUAUAUGUAUAUAUAUUUCUGCACUGGCUUCCAGUGUCCAUUGUUUCUUUUUUCCCAGGCUAUUCCUUAUAGUCUGAGAUCCUUCUGUGUUCUGUAGCUUAAAAUACUGUCCAUGGUGGUGUCAUGUCUGAGCCUAACCCUGAUCCUAAAAAUGGCCCUCUCUUCCCAACCUUACAGCACAUGGCCGUGUGUGUGUGUGUGUGUGUGUGUGUGUGUGUGUGUGUGUGUGUGUGUGAGAGAGAGAGAGAGAGAGAGAGAGAGAGAGAGAGAGAGAGAGAGAGUCAGUCCAAUGUAUGCAUUGUACUUAGAAAUAAUAGGUACUCAGUUUUCUUUGGUACAAGCUGACAUCUUAAGGCCAGUACUUAGGUUAGCUGGGAGCUGGGCGUGGUGGCGCAGGUCUUUUAAUCCCAGCACUCGGGAGGCAGAGGCAGGUGGAUUUCUGAGUUCGAGGCCAGCCUGGUCUACAAAGUGAGUUCCAGGACAGCCAGGGAUACACAGAGAAACCCUGUCUCAAACAAACAAACAAACAAACAAACAAAAGCAACAACAAAACCCCCAGCUGGACUAAACCUAUAUUUCUAGCUUCAUGGUGACGUUUAGCUUUUUGCCUUUCUUUUCCAAAUUUGAUUU